GGAAUAUUGCGCAAUGGGCGAAAGCCUGACGCAGCAACGCCGCGUGCGGGACGACGGCCUUCGGGUUGUAAACCGCUUUCAGCAGGGACGAAACUCACGGUACCUGCAGAAGAAGCACCGGCUAACUACGUGCCAGCAGCCGCGGUGAUACGUAGGGUGCGAGCGUUGUCCGGAAUUAUUGGGCGUAAAGAGCUCGUAGGCGGUCUGUCACGUCGGAAGUGAAAACUCGGGGCUCAACCCCGAGCCUGCUUUCGAUACGGGCAGACUUGAGGAAUGUAGGGGAGAACGGAAUUCCUGGUGGAGCGGUGGAAUGCGCAGAUAUCAGGAGGAACACCAGUGGCGAAGGCGGUUCUCUGGACAUUAACUGACGCUGAGGAGCGAAAGCGUGGGGAGCAAACA
rnacentral:rRNA from 1 species